AUUGAACGCUGGCGGCAUGCCUUACACAUGCAAGUCGAACGGUAACAGGUUAAGCUGACGAGUGGCGAACGGGUGAGUAAUGUAUCGGAACGUGCCCAGUCGUGGGGGAUAACUACUCGAAAGAGUGGCUAAUACCGCAUACGACCUGAGGGUGAAAGCGGGGGACCGUAAGGCCUCCCGCGAUUGGAGCGGCCGAUAUCAGAUUAGCUCGUUGGUGGGGUAAAAGCCCACCAAGGCGACGGUCUGUAGCUGGUCUGAGAGGACGACUAGCCACUCUGGGACGGAGACACGGCCCAGACUCCUACGGGAGGCAGCAGUAGGGAAUUUUGGACAAUGGACGCAAGUCUGAUCCAGCCAUGCCGCGUGCGGGAAGAAGGCCUUCGGGUUGUAAAACACUGUUGUCAGGGAAGAAACGAGUUUCUCUAAUACAGAGACUUAAUGACGGUACCUGAAGAAUAAGCACCGGCUAACUACGUGCCAGCCGCCGCGGUAAAAC
rnacentral:rRNA from 1 species